CAUCUGUAUGUCUUCUUUGGAGAAAUGUCUAUUUAGGUCUUCUGCCCAUUUUUUGAUUGGGUUGUCUAUAAAUCUUUAAAAGUUUUGCUUUUCCAUUAGGUUUGGGAUCGUUGUGGAAGUUUUUUUGGUAUUCCAGGGUAUGGUGUGUGAUAUGGAUGAGAGAAGGGGUCUUAUUUUUUCAUGUAGAUUGAAAACUUUAUCCUUUCCCCAUCAGUUUGCAAUGCCAUCUCCAUUAUCUUAAGUUCUCGUAAGAAACGUGGGUUUCUUUAGGUUCCCUCUUUUAUGGCCCACUGGUCUAUUUGUCUGUCCUUGCACCAAUAACACACUUACUAAUCACUGUAAGUUUAUACUGAGUUUUGAUAAAUGAGAGGGCAACUAUUCUUGCCUUAUUUUUCUUCAAAUUUGUCUUACAGUUAUUGUAUUAUUUCUUCUUUCAGUAUUGGAUAGAAUUUUGCAGUGUGUUUUAAACUGAAUUUGCUAGUGACUUGAAAUAUACCUUUUCAUAAGAAGGAAAAUAUCUUUAACUUUGUUCCUUUGUUAUGGUUGAGUUAGAGUGAGUUAUGUGAAAUCAAUGAAUUAAUUAUCACCAAAGCCAGCAGAGAAAAUCAACAGCCCAUGACCAAAAAAAAAAAGGUUAUGACAAUAAGUGAUCCAUUCUCUAUAGCAAAUAUUGUGACUUUCCUAUUACAAGCAUGUUCCCAGUAGCAGAGUUACAAAUCAGCAGUCCCUCAAACAAUUUAAAAUUAAUAUUACAGGAAAACAUGAUGACUUCAUGAUGUCAAGGUACAGAGUAAGUAUACAUUUAACUUUUUAUAAUCACAGGCCCGUAAGUUUUUAUUAAUCUUUCCUUUACCUACCUAACAAGAUGUAAGGGCUCUUUCAGGGCUUGGAAACAGACUUCUCAGGUCUCCUCGCCCCCCUUCUCCAAGUUCCUGACUAGCAAUUGCUGGCUCUUCCUGGCAGCCUCUGAGUCAAAUGAGCCUUGCUAUCCAGUCUGUGAAUUACUUAGUAUUCAGCAAUUUUCUUAAUGCUAGCUUGCAGAUCACUCAUAAUCUCUACUUUGGAACUUAAUUUACUAUUUAAUUCAUCUAUUAAACUUGGUGGAGAGAAUCAAUUUUUUCUGUUUCAAUAACUAUUUUUAAUUUCUACUGUCCCUGAGGGGCUAAUCCUGGUGCAUCAGUGGGGAUCAUGUGUUCAGGACACUGGGCACAACAGACUGGGCCACCCUACUGCAGGACUACCCCGUCCUAACAAAUGACACCUGCGACAGCGUAUUUCUAAAUAAGGCGACAUUCUAAGACUGCAAGAUCUUCCAAGUCUGGUUCAUCUGCAUAUAACCGGAAGUGCCAAGCAUAGAGGAUGGAUCUGUCGGGAGCCUUAUAUAUUUUUCACUAUGGCUACCUCUGGUCCCCAGGUUAGGCUAUACCUCCAAAUGGCAAGAGGCAGGAUUUUAUUAAAAUAAAAUAAAAUUUCAUUUUUUCAGGUACACAGUGUGUG